UUAGGUGUGUGGCUCUGGAUUUAGGUGUGUUGUUCGUGGAUUUAGGUGCAUGGCUCUGGAUUUAGGUGCGUGGCUCUGGAUUUAGGUGUGUGGCUCUGGAUUUAGGUGUGUUGUUCGUGGAUUUAGGUGCAUGGCUCUGGAUUUAGGUGUGUGGCUCUGGAUUUAGGUGUGUGGCUCUGGAUUUAGGUGUGUGGCUCUGGAUUUAGGUGUGUGGCUCUGGAUUUAGGUGUGUGGCUCUGGAUUUAGGUGUGUGGCCCAUGGAUUUAGGUGUGUGGCUCUGGAUUUAGGUGUGUGGCUCUGGAUUUAGGUGUAUAGCUCUGGAUUUAGGUGUGUGGCUCACGGUUUUAGGUGUGUCUGUCAGCAGUGGUCUGUCAGCAGCCCCAGGGGCUCUGCACUUGCUGGGGUGCAGCUGGUGCUCACUGGUUCUGGUUUUGGUCUCAGACAGGGGCUGGGCACAGCAGGCAGCAGUCCCUGCUGCAGCUGGGAGCUGGACUUAGAGCUCACAGACCCAAACCCUAAAUGUGGCUGUACUCCUUAUUUUGGAGUAAAUUAAAUUAACACCCCUCCCCAAAUCUUUAUUUCGGACUGAACCACGCCGCUCUGGCAGCAGUUACUUUUCUCUAGCAUUGCAUUGUCUUGCUGGAUGACUGUUCCUUACCCUCGGGGUUUUUUGGUGGCUUCAGUUAGGGCUGGAAACUCUGCUUUGCAUCCUCUGCUUUAAUCCGAGCCGAGGCAAUGGAACGGCGUGUUUGGAAUAAUUCUGUGUUUUCUCAGUAGAACACUGAGCCACAGCCUUAACCUUCCCAGCGGUUCAUGGCAGCUGCAGCUGAGUUAUUUGAUUAAAAUAUUAUUUUUACGCUCCUUGAAAGUGCUGCAGCAAUCUGAUUUAUCCCCAUUGUCAGUGUGUGUUUGUUUGGGCUCUCAGACAGAAUGAACUCGCCUUUCAUUUGGCACUAAUGCCAAGGGAACUAUUGUAUUCCAGAAUAAUGGAGCAUGAUCUGCAGCAAAACACUUCGCUCGUGCAGUUGCAUCUAAUACACAAUGGGGAUCAUUUGGUGGCUCAGGGUGUUCCUCUGCUUCCUCUGGCACUGGGAUUGCAGGUCCUGGAGCAGCCCCAGUUAGGCCCAGCCCUGGAGGAGGUCAGUGUGCAUUUCUGUUACGGAGCUCUCUGUUUUCUCCCUCCCAAAAGAUGAAGCAGCAAGGUUUUAUUUCAAGUAAGUUUCUUUUGCCCAGUCCUUAAUGGCUCAAAGUUUUAUUUUUUUUAUUAUUUAUAUAUAUAAUUUUUAUUAUAUAUAUUAUUUAUAUUAAUUAUAUAUAUAUAAUUUUUAUUAUAUACAUAUAAAUAAUAAAAAUUAUAUAUAUAAUCAAUAUAUAAAUAAUAAAAAUACAUAUAAUAAUAAUAUAUAAUAAUAUAUAUAAAUAUAAUAAUAUAUAAUAAUAAUUAUAUAUAUAUAUAUAAUUUUUAAAAAUUAAAAUUAUUUUAUUCCCUGAGGAAUAAUCUGAUGUAGUUUCUCUAAUCUUCCAAAGCAGAGGUGCUGCACACACCCUCCCCACUGUACAGCCGGAUUCCCCAUUGUCCUGCAGGACAAGGUGCAGCCUGUGCAAUAACCCAGCCCAAGGCAGCCUUGGUCAGUCCCAGUCCUGGUGUGAACCUUGGAGCACUGGGAGCUGGGCACUGCAAGGUGGCAGCGCUGGGGCAGGCAGGAUUGAUGGAGUUUUUAACGUGAUUGCAGGGGAAUUUGGACUUACCUUCAUCUAUUUUUAAAAGGAAAGAAAAAAAAAAA
rnacentral:lncRNA from 1 species